rnacentral:rRNA from 1 species
UACGUAGGGCGCAAGCGUUGUCCGGAAUUAUUGGGCGUAAAGAGCUCGUAGGCGGCUUGUCACGUCGGGUGUGAAAGCCCGGGGCUCAACUGUGGGCUUGCAGCCGAUACGGGCGGGCUGGAGUUCGGUAGGGGAGACUGGAAUUCCUGGUGUAGCGGUGAAAUGCGCAGAUAUCAGGAGGAACACCGAUGGCGAAGGCAGGUCUCUGGGCCACUACUGACGCUGAGAAGCGAAAGCAUGGGGAGCGAACAGG